UUUUUUUCUUUUUUUUUUUGCUUUUUAAGGCCGCAUCCACAGCAUAUGGAGGUUCCCAGGCUAGGGGUCAAAUCAGAGCCGUAGCUGCUGGCCUAUGCCAGAGCCACAGCAACACAGAAUCCAAGCCGUGUCUGCGACCUACACCACAGCUCAUGGCAACACAGGAUCCUUAACCCAUUGAGCCAAGCCAGGGCUCAAACCCACAACCUCAUGGUACCUAGUUGGAUUCGUUUCCAACUGUGCCACGAUGGGAACUCCCUCAACAGGUCAUUUCAAAUUGUAGAUAAAGCAAAUCAAUCAGAUGCAAACUGAUAAAGUUUACUAAGAGAUAUCACAGGUUUUAUAAACUUUUUUUUCUUAUCAUGUAUUGAACCAGACUUUGAAAAAAUACCUGAAACCUACUGGGGUCUCAUUGAAAAUAAUAUCCAAGAGUGACUUCUCCUUAGUAGACGAUUUAGUGGGAAAUCCACCUGACCUCCUAAUUGCUAUUGCUGCAUACUAUGUAUUUCAAAGAAAUAUAGGAGAGAAGCACAGAACCAACCUGGUAGUUAUUUUGUUGUGGUGGAUAUUAUUUCUUUUUGAUGAGCAGAGAGAAGUAAUUUGCCUGAACUAUGGCUUCCUGACUCCUGAUUACAUAAGUGAGAGAGCCAUCUGUGUGGAAAAGGAAAUUAAUUUAAAAGAAGUCGGUGGCCGUAUCUAACAUAAAUUUGCUGUGUAAAAUGAAAAGAGGCCUGAAGAUGUCAAAGCACGUUUUAAAAAAUUGACAGCAUGAAGGCCUUGGAGACACUUCAUUCUGAUCUGCUCCAUACAGUGACUGGCACCUUAGCCUUUGUCCUUCAGCAGAGAGCCUUAUUCGCUGGUUCACAGACUGGAGACAGAUCAUGCAAAGGAGUGAAAAUUGUCUCCAAGUUUGGUUUAACAUUUACUGAGGCACCCUGCAAUAACCAAAGACAUAAAUGCAUCAAUUUAUUCAUUUGAAAAUAUUUAAUGAGCGUAGCUAGGUGGCUGGAACUGGAGAUGCAGUCAUGAAGUCCAAGUCCCUUUAGAGCUGAGAGUCUAAUCAGGGGGCCCAACUACAAAAGUUUACAGACACAUACAUGAUACAGCUUCAGGCAUGGUCCUUAUUCUUAAGAAUCUGAUAGCCUAAUAGGGGAAGUUGAUACAUGCAGGCAGAGGGAGAACCAGCUAGAAAUAGAGGGAGCCAGAAGAUCAAGAGUUUGUGGUCAGGUGCUAUGGCAAAUUCACUUCGGCUUACGGUUCUCUUCCCUUUAGUUUUUGAACUAUUUACCACCCAGUGACAUCCUAUGUAUCCUUUCAUCACAGAGGCAGUUUAUAGUCUCCUUUUGCAAUUUGAGUAUCAUCAUGUCAUCCAAGUCAAGAGACUUAUGAUUUCUUCAGUGUUGAGCAUUGGGUAGAAAUACAGUGAACCAAGCAAAGUUUCGACGUGAAGAUGUCAAAGAGCCCCAAUGCCUCUAGAGAAUUUUACACUUGUUAAUAGGUUGAUGGUAUUUAUUCCAAGAGGCUAGAAACUCACAAAAGCAAAGAUAAGAUCACCUGAUAAGACUUCUGAGUCCAAGCAUGUCAGAUUCAGGGCCAUACCUUUCCAUCACCCUAAAUAAAGCUAUUCUUGACCUUAACCAACCAACUUUGACUACACCCUCUCCCCUUCUUUUCUCGCAGGGAGUGGGGAAAGAAGUUUUGUGAAACAGACAAGAGGGCUCACUAUUUAAGCCCAGGUCUUUGAGUGGAGCCAGAGAUCUCCCAUUGCCUCCUCCCCAGGUCCAUGUGCAUCCUGAAUUCAGGAAAGCCUCCUCCUGGUUUGUAGAUCAGCCUGCCCUUCAUCCUCUUCGACUUUCCCUGGAAAGGCACUGGGGCAGGAAAUCCCAAUACACCUGUCUCCAAUUUCAUUCCCUACUUCUCCAAAGAAACAAAGGAAAGAAAAAGAAAAUUGCAGGAGAAAAGAAGCUAAGUAUGAAAGGAAGUCUGCAAACAAACAACUACUAACACAAUCCUAAAAGCAUGUUGUCUCUAGUAACUCAGUAAGUUUAAAGAGAUGGUUUGGUUUGCUCUGUCUCUUGUUCUUUCUCUUACACUCUUUCCCCAUGAUUUUCCGAAUAGAUGUUCAAUCAAUUUAUUAAUUGUGGCACCAACCACGUUUUUUAUCAUUUUUAGGUCAACUUUCCUGAGAGAACUACACACUCAUCCUUCACCGUGCAUCCCCACGUAGAGGGGAGACUGUGCAUAGGCUAAGAAGCUUCACCUCAGUGAGCGGAGGGCUGGUCCAAGCCGGUGGUCCAGCACUAACAUGCUCAUACAGUCCAUCCCUUGCCAGGUGAGGUGGCCAUGUGGACUCUGGUGGCAUGGAUAAAAGAUAAGACUUGGCCUUUUUUUGUUAAUGUGAAAGUCUUUUAUUAUGGGGAAAAUAGUAAAAUGUUUUGCAAGGUGCUACUCAGAAAAAGAAAACAGAUCCUUUUUAAGUGAGCAAUUAUGGACUGGUAACAAAAUUAAACAUAGAGUUUCAAUCUCGAUUACAACGUGUUAUGGCAGAGAUGCACCUGGAGCAGAUCUUGUCUCCUCCAAGGGUUACUGGACAAAUCCAAAGUCUGUGUUUGGGACACUGAGAAAAAGUACACACAAAGAAGUGGGCUAUUUAAGAAAGAUGUACACACCUGGUCCGGUGUAGUGGUUAAUGGAAAUUUGAAAUGCUAUAAACUUUCUGGACUUCUUUUAUUUAUUUGUUUGGCAUUUAUUUAUUUAUUUAUUUAUUAUUUUUUUAGGGCUACAUGGUGGCAUGUGGAAGUUCCCAGGCUAGGGGUUGAAUUGAGGCUGCAGCUGUUGGCCUUCGCCACAGCCACAGCAACGCCGAAUCGAGCCACAUCCAUCUGCAACCUACAUCACAGCUCACGGCAACGUUGGAUCUUUAACCCACUGAGUGAGGCCAGGGAUCGAACCUGCGUCCUCAUGGAUACUAGUCAGGUUCUUCCUCUGAGCCACAACAGGAACUCCUGGUUGGCCUUUAUUUUUGAUACCUAUUCUGUGCUAGGAACUCUGUUGGCAAAUAGAGCGAUGGAUGAAACGUGGUCUGUCCCCCUUAGCUUUCAAUACAUAAACUAAGUUUAGUAAAGGCAUCCUCUGCCUAGUUACAGCAUUAGAUAACAUGUCUCUAGGCCAUCUGCAGAGAACAGUGCUCUGCAGGUAGUGCAGAGCCCCUUCUCUCUCCAAAGCCAAAACCCCCUCUUCUUGCACUUGUUUUAAAGUGGGGCGGCUCAGGCAUGUGCAGUGAUGGUUGCCCACUUGAUCCUUAUAAUUUUACAUGAACCAUAAGUGGUGGCAAGGGCCCUGGGACAUAUGAACUCACAGAGAACUUCACUGCAGAUACUAACGAGCAAUAGUGUUGGGAACUGAGUGCCAUAGAUGGUAUGUUAAUGACUAUCACCUAUGCAACAAAAGUUAAUAAAAUUUUACAGUUUAUAAUUUCCUUUCUUAAAUAUUAGCUGUGGUACUGAAAAAUCACAAAUGCCUGAGAAGUUGAUGCUACAAUCUAUUUAUAAAUGAGGAGAAUGAACCUUGUUCCAAGAAGGCCACUUAUUAAUAGAAGAGCCAGACCAAGACUUCUGUGACACUCUGGGGUGCUAUCCCCCAGCGCAUGCUACCCUCCUGAGUGCUAGUAAAUUAUUUGGAAUGCAACUGUUCACCUACCUAGAUAUCUCCACCGUGCCUGAGAACUGAGCAUUGUUUCCUGGUAGGCUGAGAAUCUCUUGAGAAAUUUGCAAUGAAAGUGUGAGAGCAAUUCUGCUAAGAAAUCAGAUUUCAAUGCUGGUGUCACCAUUGAAACCAUUUCCUUCACUACUGCAAAGUGAUAAAGCAUAAAAUGAAGUGACAGGGAAAUUAUUUUCAAACCUUGCCAUUUGCUUAGGCUACAGGAAUAUUUGCUCAUGGUAAAUUUAACAUAGUGGGAUUCAUUUUUCUUUUUGAAAUGAAAACUUCUUUUUGAGGACAAAAUGCUGAGGUUUUUUUGUUGUUGAUUGUCUGUCUGUUUUUACCAAGAAUAAAUUGAUUUUCCCAUAGUUUUAGGCCUUUGGUUAUAUCAGCUAGGAGCUGGUGAGGUCCCAAGGUGAAUAAAAUGUAAUUUGCGGAAGCACCAACCAUGGCGUUUCCCAUGAUUCGCAAUGGGAUGCUGUCACCACCCCCUUAUGUAUGCAUGUGCGCAGCGCUCUGCUUGUGCUCUAAAUGCAUUCAUCCUCUCAUAUAAGCUUCAUAACAGUCCUGCCAGAGAGGUUGGGUCACAUGCCUGCGGCCAUCGUUGUACUAACUAGGAGACUAAGGACUGAGACCAGGGGCCAUGGGUCCACAAAUUCCGUAAUACCUACCAUGCUUUUAAAUCUUUGUCCUUCAGAGGUGCCCUCAGGCACUGCAGAGUCUAGUAGGGACAAGGUCAAAGCUAUUCAUCUCUGCUUUUUGCAGACCACCUGUCAUUACCUCUUUUAUGUAUGGUGGGUUUCCUCAUGUUUGGAGCUCACAAAAUUACAGCACAACUCAAAUGCACCAAGAACAGCAAUUUCUUGGUUUGGUCUAUAGCUAAUGGUGUCUUCAAGAACAGGCCUCAUCUGAUGGCAGUCUGAUGGCAAGCAGAGAAGAGAAAGUUAAGUGUCAAGAGGGUCUUAAAUUUAGUUCAAUUAAAUAAUUAAGAGCACUUUUUUUUAAAGGUUCAGGGUUUCAGAGAGCCACCUCACCCCUCCUCUCUUCUGUCCUCAGAAGGCUUCUGGGAGUGUCCAGGUAGGGGUGUGACUUUCCUGUCCACAUUCAGUGCCAUGCUUCUUGCCUGGGUGCCAAGAACCCAGAUGCCCUCCAAUGGUGAAGUGACCUGGGAUCUAUUCUUUUAGCUCCAGCAUGCUCCUGUCAAGGCUCCCAGGAUGAAAUGCCCUCCUUCUCAAGUUACAACUCUUCUGGGGUCUGGCUGUGAUUCUCCUCUGUUACUAGUCCAAGCAGCAAGCUCUGCAGUCUUUAUUAACUGGGACACACCUCAUCCCCAGGAAGAGGACCCCCUUGGGCUAAACAGGCUCCUUCGACCGAGUUAGAGAGUAACAAUGUCCCCGCUGGUCUUAGCAAAUCUACUCUCCAAGAAAAGCUGUGAAUUGAAGAUCUAGUUAUGCCUAAAUGGGAACAACUGCUUAUCUCCACUCAGAGGACCAGUGUUUGAAUUACAGUUUAUUCCUACUGGAAAGCACCUUAAAAGCUAUCCACACGCUUCCUCCCUUCCCACUUUACAAGUUAAAGAACCUGAGGCCCGGAGAUGAAAUGGUUGGCUAUGGGUCACAUCUCAUUGAUGGUGUUUUAAGCCUCCCACACCACCUGCCCAUCGAUGAUAAGCCCACAUCAGUCAGAAUGGCUGAGUCCUGUCCCCCAUACCUGGGCGUGAAAGUUACACACACAUCACACUUUGACAAAGUUAACCUGUCAGAGGGAACAACUGCGUUUCUGUUUUUGUUUUUGUUUUUGCACAUACCGGUUUUCUGUGAAAUCCUUUAAGUCUGAGGAGAGCAACUACAUUUCUCUUCAAAUAAUAUGUCCUUAAGUUUCUUAGGUAUUUGGAAGGGAUCUGAGAGACCAAGGGUGGGAAGGAAGCAGGGAUGCACAAACCAGCUCGACACGCUUUUUUCAAUUCUUUAUCUCUACUCACUGUAGCUUCAAAAUAAUGCCAUCUUUGGGGAGCACGAUGGAAGAUUUUCAGCAGAAAAUGUAUUCAGUAAUGAGAAGCAUAAAAAAGCACUCCAUGAAUACUAAUGUGUUGCCUAAACAUUGUAUCUUUGAUUUUCCACUCAGUGAAUUAUCCAAAAUAAAAUGCAAAAGCAAUUAUUUUGGGAAUGAGAUUCCAUGCCCAAAGGGGGAGGGAGGGGCCUUAAAAAUGACAAGAAAUGGCUAUUAAAAAAAUAGGAAAAUGUUCUGGAAAAAAAGUGCCUUUUCCCCUGCCAGGCAGACUACUGAUCCUAGGUUCCAGCAGAAACGGAGCCUGAGGCAAAAGUUGAUGAGCUGCGGCUUUCGCAGGAGGGUGACCCUGGGGGAACAGGAAGGGGAGGCCCAGUAGAGAGAAUGGGGACCCACUGGGAAGCUUGUGUGAUUUUGUUUUAUUUUCCAGAUGCACAGUUACCUGGCUCUUAGCAUCAUACGAUUCUUCAAUGACUUGUGUUACUUGCAAGGCCAUGCAGUCAGAUGUCCCUAACUCCAUGCUCUCACCAUCAGAAUCCACCCUCCAGGCAUCAGCAAGCCCUCACUUUCCUGG
rnacentral:lncRNA from 1 species